UACGGAGGAUGCGAGCGUUAUCCGGAUUUAUUGGGUUUAAAGGGUGCGUAGGCUGUGCGUUAAGUCAGGGGUGAAAUGCCGUCGCUCAACGACGGAGCUGCCCUUGAUACUGGCGUGCUGGAGUACGGAUGCCGUUGGAGGAAUGAGUGGUGUAGCGGGGAAAUGCUUAGAUAUCCCUCAGAACACCGAUUGCGAAGGCAUCUGACGAAUCCGUCACUGACGCUGAGGCACGAAAGCGUGGGGAUAGAACAGGAUUAGAUACCCUGGUAUUCCACGCCGUAAACGAUGAUGACUAACCGUCGGCGAUAGACAGCCGGUGGCCAAGCGAAAGCGAUAAGUCAUCCACCUGGGGAGUACGUCGGCAACGAUGAAACUCAAAUGAAUUGACGGGG
rnacentral:rRNA from 1 species